CCCGACUUCUACCCCACUUCAUCUUCGAUUUCUCAAUCUACAUAGACUGAAAAAGUGAGAUAUAGCUAGCCACCUCCUAAACAAGAUGUAAUAGUUUCCCCAACCAUCGCCAUUAAUGAUUUUUUCAUCUUUUUUUCCCGCCAACUUUUAUUCAUCCAAUUUUUCACCAUCUACAACACAAAAUUCUAUUAUAUCCAAACAACCACCAACAUCACGACAUCAUCACCAUCAAUAGCGAAAAUUGAUCCAGAUUUCGAUGCUACAAAGCGGAUAGAGGAGAUACAUUAUAAUCAUAUACAUUGAUAUAUUUGAUAUUUAUUCAAAUGAGAUACAUUAUAAUGAUAGAUAUGUUUGAAAAUAUGACAAAAAUUAUGUAUUUAUGUCUCGAAAUGAGAUCUGUAUUGAUGAAACAUAAGAAUUGCAUAUCGGUUGCAGUGAUUUUCUGAUGGAG
rnacentral:lncRNA from 1 species